AGGGCCAAAAUCUUCUAUCCUGAUAUAGGACAUUUAAUAUGUCAAUAACGAUAUAUAUCACAAUAUAGCAUGUUUUCUGGUUAUUCAAUAAAUAAAUAGUCUAUAUGAAAUAACCACGUGGUAAAGCCUGUUUUUGUAUACUACUGUAUAUUGAACACAAAAU